rnacentral:piRNA from 1 species
GAAAGAGACUGUGCUGUGUGUAGGAGUC